AGAGUAGAGAUUGAUGUUGAGAUCACUAGUCGAGGAUUGGUCAACUAAUUGAUGGUUGUCCAAAGGUCAGAUAUAACUAGGCGGUGAGCCUCUGUCCAGAAGAAAGCUGCAAGUCAUGGAAGACUAAGGAAGGUUGAUGAUUAUCCGAGGAGGGUUGGCCGAUGGAGAAAUCGUUAGAAGCUGCUCGCUUGGAUUGCAAUGCAUCGAUAAAACUGGGGCG
rnacentral:lncRNA from 1 species